rnacentral:rRNA from 1 species
AGAGUUUGAUCAUGGCUCAGGAUGAACGCUGGCGGUAUGCGUGAUACAUGCAAGUCGUACGAGAGUUUUUAACUCUAGUGGCGGACGGGGUGAGUAACACGUAAGAAUUUGCCUUUAGGAGGGGGACAACAACUGGAAACGGUUGCUAAUACCCCAUAUGCUUUCGAGUGAAAUGGAUUUCCGCCUAAAGAGAAGCUUGCGGCUGAUUAGCUUGUUGGUAGGGUAAUGGCCUACCAAGGCGACGAUCAGUAUCUGGUUUGAGAGGACGAUCAGACACACUGGAACUGAGACACGGUCCAGACUCCUACGGGAGGCAGCAGUAGGGAAUUUUCCGCAAUGGGCGAAAGCCUGACGGAGCAAUACCGCGUGAGGGAUGACUGCCUAUGGGUUGUAAACCUCUUUUUUCAGGGAGGAAUAAAUGACGUGUACCUGAAGAAUAAGCAUCGUCUAACUCCGUGCCAGCAGCCGCGGUAAGACGGAGGAUGCAAGUGUUAUCCGGAAUCACUGGGCGUAAAGCGUCUGUAGGUGGUUUGAUAAGUCAACUGUUAAAUCUUGAAGCUCAACUUCAAAAUCGCAGUCGAAACUAUCAGACUAGAGUAUAGUA